UACGGAGGGUGCAAGCGUUAUCCGAAUUUACUGGGUUUAAAGGGUGCGUAGGCGGGUUGAUAAGUCAGUGGUGAAACCUCCGAGCUUAACUCGGAAACUGCCAUUGAUACUAUCAGUCUUGAAUUCAGUUGAGGUGGGCGGAAUGUGUCGUGUAGCGGUGAAAUGCUUAGAUAUGACACAGAACACCAAUUGCGAAGGCAGCUCGCUAAACUGACAUUGACGCUGAGGCACGAAAGCGUGGGGAGCAAACAGG
rnacentral:rRNA from 1 species